UAGUCAACCAAAACAGUAGGAAUAAUCAACCAGUUGGGAAAACUAAGUAGGCAGCAGUUCUGUACAACAGUAACUCAGGCUUUGAGUGGUCACAGGCUGGUGUGAGUCAACCAUGGCUUGUUAUUGCAAAGAAAAAAAGUAAGUGACCUGCUGGGAUGAAUUACGAGGAUUAGAGUCUGAAAGACUUGGCAAGGAAUUCUGCUUUGCUUAGCAGUUGUAAAGCUAGUUUCGGAUGUUACACAUGAAGAAGGAUGUGGACCACCUGCAGAGUAAACAGAAUGUGAAGGGGUCUAAGGGAAACAGUGAAUUAUUUCAGAUUGUUUAAUUAGGAAAGAAUGACAAGAAUGACAACAUAAACAGUCCACAAACAUGUGAGAAGUUACUGAUAAGAUGGGAAUAACCUGUUUUCUACGCCCACCAGGGCCAGAAAUUACAACCAGAAUAUUUUAGGUUAAACAUUAGGACAAACAUUUUUCAAGGCUAGAGGUACUGGAAAAAAGAUUGCCAGUGGUGUGGUCAGGGUCUGUCAAGAACAGGCUAUGGGGUCUUUAAGAACUGGCUAUGUACAUAUCGUCCAUAAACAGAUAUUUUAUAGGUGUAGUGGAGCUGCCUAUCAGUAUGACCAUCUAAGGACCCUUCUGAGCCCUAUGUUUCUAUUGUUGUUAAUGUCAUAAGAUUGUAGAAUGGUUUGGGUUGGACAGGGACCAUUAAAGCUCAUCUAGUCCAACCCCCCUGCCAUGGGCAGGGACACCUUCCACUAGACCAGGUUGCUCAAAGCCCCAUCAAACCUGACCUUCAACACUUCCAAUGACAGAACAUCCACAUCUUUUCUGGGUGCACCCAAAAUUCUAUUAUGGUUUGUACUGCUGGAGCAAUAACAGAAAUCAAGGAAUUAGAAUUCUGUGAAGGGAGAAGUAAUUGAUGGUGAUAUGAUGUAGAAGCACAUGCCUGAAAUGAGUUAAGUACCUAGACAUUCAAUUUAUUAACAGUAUUACCAAAUAUUAUUUCUGUGAAGAUGUUACUGGAGGCUGUGUGAAACAAAAUUAUCGCAUAUGCUUAUUGACAAUCCUAAUGAGAACAACUUACAUAAUCAUGUUCUUGAUGGGAAACUUCUUGUGCAAAGAACUGCUGGCUUGUGAGGUUGAUGCAGAGCACUGCUCUCUCAAGCAAAAGACUGAAGUGCCCACCUCACCGGAGAAGCAAAAAACUAAAUAAACUGCUUAAGCAUUAGCUGUCUAGUACCAUUUUAGUUGCUACGUGGUAUAUCUCUCCUGUCCUCCAGCUGUUUCAGAAAGCUGCAGACCCACCAUUAGUCUUGCGGCGUAUCUGCCAGACCUCUGCAGAUAGCUUUGAUACCCAAGGGUGUGUCAAGUGGCACUAGAUGAUGCAGAUGAAUUCUGUGAGUGGCAGCUGAAAGGUCACCCAAGGGGCUCCAGCUGACACUCCAUCAGCUCAUCCAUUAUACUCUGGAUACAGUCUGCAUUGUGACAGAGACAGACCAUUAAAAUGCUAUAAUCAGCUAACAGAAUCACGAGACUGGACUACAGUCACAAAUGGAUACAAGCUUGGGAUUUAUAUUUAGCUAUGGUGAUAGUGCAGUUUGCAAUUUAGUGUGGGCAUACCUGAUCCAUCUUUAAAUUAGCUAAUCCUCCUAAUGGAAAAUUUCUAAUCACUGCAACACUGUGCUUGGCACAAGGUAAUUUACUUUUGCCAUAGUGGUGUUUCCACUGUGCCAGCAGUGUAUGUGUAUGCAGAUUACAUUUUAGGCACAUCCACCAUCUACUUAUGAAUCCUAGUUUUCUUUUGUGAACAUGGAGUUAUGGGCUAACCUUUAUGUAUGGCUAGCAAAAUGAGAACCUUUUAGAAAGAAAAGAAGUGUAACAGUUAAGAAUUCAUCACACAGCAAGAAUGUGACACCUAGUGGAUAGAUGAUGUUGAGGAAAUGUGAUGGUCCCAUCAAGGAAUAUUGACAUAAAAUGACCCUAUCCAGUAGAACAACAAAGUUGAUACCAAAAAAGACACUGAUCUUGAAUGACUGUUUACACAGGGCCAAAGUAAUUGUGUAAUGGCAAGUUUCCCCUGAAAGCUCAGAAGUGAAGGUGGUAAGAGAUUGGUUUAGAAGGAUUUUUUGUAAGCUACUAGCAGAAUGAAGAUGUCAGGCCAAGGCCAGAGGGCUUUUAAAAAACAGAGACUAAAGCCCAUGAAGACUUUGUGGAUAUUCAAGAGAUGCAUCAUAACUGGAGAUUUACAACAACCAAAACACAAGAAUAAAGCAUGUCUAAAAA